rnacentral:rRNA from 1 species
AACGAACGCUGGCGGCAGGCCUAACACAUGCAAGUCGAGCGGACCUUUCGGGGUCAGCGGCGGACGGGUGAGUAACGCGUGGGAAUAUGCCCUUCUCUACGGAAUAGUCCUGGGAAACUGGGGGUAAUACCGUAUACGCCCUUUGGGGGUAAGAUUUAUCGGGGAAGGAUUAGCCCGCGUUGGAUUAGGUAGUUGGUAGGGUAAUGGCAUACCAAGCCGACGAUCCAUAGCUGGUUUGAGAGGAUGAUCAGCCACACUGGGACUGAGACACGGCCCAGACUCCUACGGGAGGCAGCAGUGGGGAAUCUUAGACAAUGGGGGCAAACCUGAUCAAGCCAUGCCGCGUGAGUGAUGAAGGCCUUAGGGUUGUAAAGCUCUUUCAGCUGGGAAGAUAAUGACGGUACCAGCAGAAGAAGCCCCGGCUAACUCCGUG